rnacentral:rRNA from 2 species
GGGUACUAGGGUGGGGCUCGUUCCACGGACUCCGUGCCGUAGCUAACGCAUUAAGUACCCCGCCUGGGGAGUACGGCCGCAAGGCUAAAACUCAAAGAAAUUGACGGGGGCCCGCACAAGCGGCGGAGCAUGUGGAUUAAUUCGAUGCAACGCGAAGAACCUUACCUGGGUUUGACAUACACCAGAAAGCCGUAGAGAUACGGCCCCCCUUGUGGUUGGUGUACAGGUGGUGCAUGGCUGUCGUCAGCUCGUGUCGUGAGAUGUUGGGUUAAGUCCCGCAACGAGCGCAACCCUUAUCUUAUGUUUCCAGCGCGUAAUGGCGGGGACUCGUGAGAGACUGCCGGGGUCAACUAGGAGGAAGGAGGGGGGGAAGUCAAGUCAUCAUUCCCCUUAUGUCCAGGGUUUCACACAUGCUACAAUGGCCGGUACAGAGGGCUGCGAUACCGUGAGGUGGAGCGAAUCCCUUUAAGCCGGUCUCAGUUAGGAUGGGGGUUAGCAACUAGACCCCGUGAAGUUGGAGUCGCUAGUAAUUGCAGAUCAGCAACCAUGCGGUGAAUAAGUUCCCGGGCCUUGUACACACCGCCCGUCACGUCAUGAAAGUAGUUAACACCAGAAGCCGGUGGCCUAGCCCCUUGUGGGAGGGAGCCGUCGAAGGUGGAUCGGCGAUUGGAGGAAGUCGAAUCAAGAGCG